CCUCUCUCCUUGCUCAGCGCUGUACAAAAAUAAAGUUCCUACUUUCUUCCACCACACCCGGUGUCAGAGAUUGGCUUGCUGUGCAACGGGACCGGCCGGAAAUAAUGGGUACCUUGGCAACCCUCUGGGCUCCAUUUGUUUUGAAGUCGCCGCGACGCCCCGGCCAAAUUUUGCCUCACAAACUGAAGCUGGAAGACCCAAUAUAAACUUAAGAGAGAUUCAUGUCUGCUGCUGUGUAAGCCACUCAAAAACCUACCUGAGUGCCCGAUGACACCAUCAGAGACAUUUCAAACUGCAGAAGAUGCUUCGACCCUGACUUCUAGGAAUCUUGAUUGGCUGCCCCCAGGCUCAGAAACUGGUUCAUAAUUUGCUCCAACCAUUAAGCUUGUUUUUCUCUUUUUGUUUCUCUAG
rnacentral:lncRNA from 1 species